rnacentral:lncRNA from 1 species
GAAAAACAAAGAAAAAUUUUCUCAUCCUUUGGUUCAUCCUUGGCCAAAAUUUUAAGGAGGAAAGAAGAAGAAAGGUGAAGAGAUUCGGCCAUGCAUGUAGCUAGGCUAAGGUAUGUUUGAUGAUGUUCCAUGAGAUGCAUGCAUGUUUUAGUUGUUAGCUUGAGUUCUACCUAGCCCAUGGUCUAAAUCUUGCUAUGUGAUGGAAAUGGCACUUGACCAUGGAUGCAUCAUUCUUGGUUGAUGUUUGAUGUUGUGGUGAUGAGGCAUGAGGAUGAA